GUGCCAGCAGCCGCGGUAAUACAGGGGGUGCAAACGUUGCUCGGAAUCAUUGGGCGUAAAGCGCACGUAGGCGGUUUGUUAUGUCGGAUGUGAAAGCCCUUGGCUCAACUAAGGAAGUGCAUCCGAAACUGGCAAGCUGGAGUACUAAAGAGGGUCGCGGAAUUCCCGGUGUAGAGGUGAAAUUCGUAGAUAUCGGGAGGAACACCGGUGGCGAAGGCGGCGACCUGGGUAGAUACUGACGCUGAGGUGCGAAAGCGUGGGGAGCAAACAGGAUUAGAUACCCCAGUAGUCC
rnacentral:rRNA from 1 species